rnacentral:lncRNA from 1 species
GCCAUUAAUACUCAUGUGCAGGACUGUGAGAUGUGUACUGGAUAACAUGCUACUCAAGAUUGCUUGAUUGAUGGUUCAUUCAUGCCUCCAGUAUAAGAACUGUUAGAAAAUGGAUAGACUAGCAUGCAUGGAUUUUAAAAUAAUUUUGAAAUAGCAGCAAAAACUGAUCUAGGUUAAACUCUUUAACCCUAUAUGCAAU